AUUGAUUGGCUGCGGCGCUACUUCUAAAACAUCAGCUGAGGGAGACCUACAGGCAAACCAUCCGAUUGGCAUUCAGCUUUACCAGGACCAUGUGUGUGCAGCUGAGACUUCCUGAAAGGCAGUGCCAACGUGGGCAACGGAAGACGAGGGGUGAGGGUCCGCACGAAGCCCACCAGGAGGAAGAGGAUGAAGAAGGUGGAGUUGAUGCAGCGGAGGAAAAGUGAGAGGGGCCGGCAGGA